rnacentral:ncRNA from 1 species
GAUCCUAUGGUCUUGUACCGACGACAGAUCUUUCAAAUGUCUGCCCUAUCAACUUUUGAUGGUAGUAUCUAGGACUACUAUGGUUGAAACGGGUAGAGGGGAAUCAGGGCUCGAUUCCGGAGAGGGAGCCUGAGAAACGGCUACCACGUCUAAGAAAGGCAGCAGGCGCGUAAAUUACCCACUCCCAGCUCGGGGAGGUAGUGACGAAAAAUAACAAUACAGGACUCAUAUCCGAGGCCCUGUAAUUGGAAUGAGUACACUUUAAAUCCUUUAACAAGGACCAAUUGGAGGGCAAGUCUGGUGCCAGCAGCCGCGGUAAUUCCAGCUCCAAUAGCGUAUAUGAAAAUUGUUGCGGUACGUUCGUAGUUGAACUUGUGCUUCAUACGGGUAGCACAACAUACAUUUGUAGUGAGUACUAUACCUUUAUGUAAGUAAGCGUAUUAUCGGUAGAGUUAUUAUAUGUAAUUAAGUACUUGUACUUUUUAUACCCUUGCAAAAAGGGUAUAUUAAUUUUGGUCAAAAGUGUGCAACGCAUAGAAGGAAGCAUCUCUGACCAUAUAAAGUAUAUAUAUUCUUGAUCAGCA